rnacentral:rRNA from 1 species
CCUACGGGAGGCAGCAGUGAGGAAUAUUGGUCAAUGGGCGCGAGCCUGAACCAGCCAAGCAGCGUGAAGGAUGACUGCCCUACGGGUUGUAAACUUCUUUUAUCAAGGAAUAAAGUGAGGCACGGGUGCCUUUUUGUAUGUACUUUAUGAAUAAGGAUCGGCUAACUCCGGGCCAGCAGCCGCGGUAAUACGGAGGAUCCGAGCGUUCUCCGGAUUUAUUGGGUUUAAAGGGAGAGUAGAUGGGUUGUUAAGUUAGGGGUGAAAGUUUGCGGCUCAACCGUAAAAUUGCAAUUGAUACUGGCAGCCUUGAGUACAGUUGAGGUAGGCGGAAUUCGUGGUGUAGCGGUGAAAUGCUUAGAUAUCACGCAGAACUCCGAUUGCGAAGGCAGCUUACGAAGCUGCCACUGACACUGAUGCUCGAAAGUGUGGGUAUCAAACAGGAUUAGAUACCCGGGUAGUC